GGACAAAAGCGUCUUGUGAAUGCCCUAAAUAUAAACAAAAAAUAUGGGGUGGGUUUGCCUUAGCCUCCAUAUGGAUAGAAAUGAACAGAAAAUGCUAAAAUAGGGAAAAGUUUGUGUCUCACAGUCAACAAAAUAAGCACAAUUCUGUCAUAUUUCAUAGUGAAUAAUGUUAAGCCUAAAAUCGUCCUGUACCUUCAACAAAUGUAUACAGAAAAAAUGGUUAGUUAAUUAUUAGGAACGCAGGCUGGAACAGUGCUGUGUUUGUGUACUUUAGGCAGGGCAACCAGAACAGGAAGUACAAAAAUGGGUAUUCUCCAGGGUCACAUGGUUAAAGUCUGCCAUUUCAUACGAGCUGCAUUCGUAUCUACUCCGGCAUUACACAUAAUCUGCAGGGAAAUUACACCACGGUUAUGUUUUUGAGACAAAAAUAGUGCUUCCUUGAAGAUACCUUACAAAAGAGCCCUUUGAUGGUGUAAAUCUGAAUGCCGAUAUGUCUUGGAUGUUAUACAAACGGUCAUGUGCCUUUAAAACCAGAGGAUUGAGAGGUGAUCGCAGAGACACAGACAGCUGGGAGAGUCGCAGACAGAGGAUCCAGGGUGUAUGUGUGUGUGUCUCGCUCGAGUUGGAGGAAAGAAGGACAGCAGAGAGAGGGAGAGAGAGGAGAGAGAGAGACCCAAUUAGAAGGAGCGUGAGGGGGGAAAUGGGGACACGGCCGCGUCACAGAGCAGAGAAAAGGAAGCCAUGGUAGCAGGUUCCCGUUAACUUGAGCUCUGCAUGCGCUCAGUCUGCCUGUUUGGCAGCUAGCAAGUGGGAUACCAGAACUGGUUGAAGUCGUGUUUAUGUCAGCACAAAGAUCUGAAAAUUAAAUGCUGCGUCACACUUGGGAAGAGGAAUAGGUUGAUAAUGCAUGCGCAUGCCCAACUGUGUGUUUGUGUGUGUGUGUGUGUGUGUGUGUGUGUGUGUGUGUGUGUGUGUGUGUGUGUGUGUGUGUGUGUGACUUGGCGCCGGGCUGUUGGUGAGCUAUGUGUGAUCAGAAUGAGUGGUGUUUACAUGGGUAUCGGUUUGGAGCAGCAUUCUAAGAGCAGCAACAUGGUUGUUACAACAAGAUGAACAUCGAGUGUGCCUGUUUUUCAAAGGCAAGGGGAGGAAAGAGAGAGGGAGGCAGGCAGGAGAUAGAGCGAGUGAAGGGAGAGCAGGUCAGGGAGUGAGAGAGAAACAGAGAGGGAGAAAGAUUGUGGAUUAGUUGCUACGUCACUUUUUCACGUCGGGGGGUAAACAGAAGCUAACAUUACAGAAGCUCGGAGUCAUCGAGCUCCUCCACCUGAGAGUGGACGCAACGCUUUUUCCGACAUCCUCCUCCUCUUCAUCCUCCUUGUCGCAGCGGGGGAGUCGGGAGCCACUGCCACCGUCGCUCCGCCCCAGCCGCGCAGAGGAAGAGGGAGAUGGUUUACAUGAGCGAGGGCCGGUUGGGGCGCUCUGCUCAGAUAUACAGUUCAGCAGUACCACACCCAUGACUAGUAUAAUGCUAGCAUCAAAAAUCUGACUGAAGAUUCAGCUCGGAAGUCUUAUAGCAGAAUCUAAUAGCCACGAGAGGCUGAGGAUCCUGGGUGAGACUUUCAAACUAACACAGAAAAUACCUAAGGUCAGCCUUUUCAUAUGUGCCUAACUUUUUCCUUUGUAAUGUUUCAGUUUGUUUGCGUCACAGGUGGAACCGACCCUCAGAAAUACUCCCCUUGGAAGCUGGUUUCCGAUGGUGGCUUAGAGUGCGGUCCUCCAUCUAGCACCAUUUGAAAUCAGUGUUCUUGUGGUGGGAUGUGAACUUCUCCCACAGAUGCUGGAUACGUGCCAGCAACACUGCAUCACACUUGGUGGGAGGGGAGGAAAACGGGAGUUCAUCACCCAGGAAGUGUCACCCACCCCUUACCAACGGGCCGGAGGGACAGUUAGCAGUGGCGCAGUUGCAGUCGCAGUGACUCAGUAGCAGUGACUUAUGAUGUGUUCCAGAUGCCUCUUACACCACCCGCACGAGUUGCUCUUGUGGCGUAAUUUCCUGGCUUGUAACACUUAUAGCCUUCCUGUUUGUCUUUGUGAUUGCGUCAUGUCAUUGGCUAGUCAUUGUUAGCCACAUUAGCCUCUUUAGCAAACCAGCUAGAAAACAAACACAACUUUACAUUGUAUUUCACGCACAGCAAGACCGUGCAAUGCAUAAAUUGAUGACCGGAAUAACGAAGAAAUUUAAUCAAGUGUGUAAGAGCAUUUAAAAUCGACAUUAAAAUGACCAACGUGGUACGAAUACAAAGAAAAUAAAUCCAAUUUUUGGACCAGCCAUUUUUGUUGUCGAGUUGUACGGUCAACCUCACUGAACUCUGUAUACUCUCAGAAUUGACCAAAACUUUUGGUCGGUCCCAGGUGAAAUGCUGCAAGAAAGCUGGGAGAUUACCCCAUUUGCAACUCGUUCGGCUGGUGUACGAGGCAUCUGGAACACACCAUCAGUUAGCGUGAGGCAGUUAGCCAUGACUCAGUUAGCCAUGGCACAGUAGCAGUGACUCAGUUAGCAGUCAUUCAGCUAGCCAUGGCACAGUAGCAGUGACUCAGUAGCAGUGACGCAUUGAGCAGUAACGCAGUUACCAUUGACGCAGUAGCAUUGACUCAGUAGCAGUGACGCAGUUAGCAUUGAGCAGUAGCAGUGAUACAGUAGCAGUGACGCAGUUACCAUUGACGCAGUAGCAUUGACUCAGUAGCAGUGAUGCAGUUAUCAUUGACCGUUAGCAGUGACUCAAUAGCAGUGACGCAGUUAACAUUGACGCAGUGACGCAGUUGGCAUUGACACAGUAGCAGUGACACAGUUAGCAGUGCAAGCUUAAGGUCCUCUUUUCCAAGGUUGACUGAUUUCUUUCGGUGUUCAGAGUCUUCUUGUGUUUCUAGCACCAUUUGAAAUCGGUUACAAUGAAGGAUACCUCAUCGGGAGGGUGAGCUCCUCUGCGGCGGGCCCGUGGGCAGACUGGGGUUGGGCAGAAGGGUUUAAAAAGGGGCCUUAGUUCUAAGAUCACUAGUUCUCUUCAAUUGAACUAGCAGGUCUUUAAUGCAACUGAAUGUAUUGGGCUAAUGGCCAAGAAGCAUUCAUCUGAAAUCUUUUAUUUUUAAGCGUUAUACAGGAAUGUAAUGUUUGGUAUUCAUACGUGAUGAAUGAAAAUUAAAUGCUGAAUGGAUUAUAAAAAUUGUAAUCCAUUUGUUGACCGAUAUUAAAGACUUAGAAUCACUAACUACAUUUCAUACUCAAACAGAGAGUACAGUAACACAGAACGUGGACGGAAGUACUUUAAUCAUUUUUAUAAUUUCAAGCUCAUGUUCAUAUCAAAUGGUUGUCAAGGCACAAUGAAAUACAAUGCUAAUAAAUUAUGGAUAUUACUAAUGCAGUUGACCAUUUUGAUAGAUAUUUUUAAAUGGCGUCAAUAGAUUUAUUUCGCUUUUCACAUUUUGUCACAUUUAGAAUGUGGAAAAUCGAUAGCAAACGAUUGGAACACAAUGAUCUGAGGCUUCAGAUUUGAUCUGCACACAUAUUUAUACCUCAUUUCAAUUAUUUACAACCACAGAAUGUCUCCAUGGCGCUACGGCCCCAGCAAAGCCUAUAAGUGCAAAUUGUCAAAAAAUACAUACCUCAAACAUUGGGCGAUGAUUAAUUUAAAAUAAAUAUAAAUGUUUUACCUCCACAUUUAGAGAUUUGAGUGGGGGACCACAGUAAAAAAAACAUUUUAUUUUACAUUCACACAUCCAACCCAAUAACGUCAACUCCACAACUAAACAACCCAUUGGUUAAAAACAAGCCCCUCCAAAAAGGGCUUGUUUAAUUCAUCUGCUUACAACCAUAAAUUGGGUUCAAAACGACCAAGGCCAAAUAGACCAACCAAGAACGAGUAGCAAUACAAAACGGCUCCAUUUUCUUUUCUUAACAAAAAUCAAUCUACAAUAAGGUUUACAAUACAGGGUUGAUGGCAAAGUAAUCAACCAAAUAAUUGUACUUUGGCAGCAAAUGCAGCCAGAAAUGUUUCUAUCAAACGCAUUGACCUUUUCUCAAAACUUAAAACGUGGCAAAUAAACAUGUUGAAGGUGGAAGAGAAAUAAAUAAUUGAAUGUAACACUAUCAAUCUAAUACAGCAUUAAUUCGGAAGCAUUCAUUGGAGUAAGCUAUGCUUAAG